AUUGAACGCUGGCGGCAGGCCUAACACAUGCAAGUCGAGCGGAUGACGGGAGCUUGCUCCUUGAUUCAGAGGCGGACGGGUGAGUAAUGCCUAGGAAUCUGCCUGGUAGUGGGGGACAACGUUUCGAAAGGAACGAUAAUACCGCAUACGUCCUACGGGAGAAAGCAGGGGACCUUCGGGCCUUGCGCUAUCAGAUGGGCCUAGAUCGGAUUAGCUAGUAGGUGAGGUAAUGGCUCACCUAGGCGACGAUCCGUAACUGGUCUGAGAGGAUGAUCAGUCACACUGGAACUGAGACACGGUCCAGACUCCUACGGGAGGCAGCAGUGGGGAAUAUUGGACAAUGGGCGAAAGCCUGAUCCAGCCAUGCCGCGUGUGUGAAGAAGGUCUUCGGAUUGUAAAGCACUUUAAGUUGGGAGGAAGGGCAGUAAGCUAAUACCUUGCUGUUUUGACGUUACCGACAGAAUAAGCACCGGCUAACUCUGUGCCAGCCGCCGCCGUAAUAC
rnacentral:rRNA from 1 species